GACGAACGCUGGCGGCGUGCUUAACACAUGCCAGUCGAACGGAAAGGCCCUGCUUUUGUGGGGUGCUCGAGUGGCGAACGGGUGAGUAACACGUGAGUAACCUGCCCUUGACUUUGGGAUAACUUCAGGAAACUGGGGCUAAUACCGGAUAGGAGCUCCUGCUGCAUGGUGGGGGUUGGAAAGUUUCGGCGGUUGGGGAUGGACUCGCGGCCUAUCAGCUUGUUGGUGGGGUAGUGGCUUACCAAGGCUUUGACGGGUAGCCGGCCUGGGAGGGUGACCGGCCACAUUGGGACUGAGAUACGGCCCAGACUCCUACGGGAGGCAGCAGUGGGGAAUAUUGCACAAUGGGCGGAAGCCUGAUGCAGCAACGCCGCGUGCGGGAUGACGGCCUUCGGGUUGUAAACCGCUUUCGCCUGUGACGAAGCGUGAGUGACGGUAAUGUGUAAAGAAGCACCGGCUAACUACGUG
rnacentral:rRNA from 1 species